rnacentral:rRNA from 1 species
AUUGAACGCUGGCGGCAUGCCUUACACAUKCAAGUCGAACGGUAACAGGUCUUCGGAUGCUGACGAGUGGCGAACGGGUGAGUAAUACAUCGGAACGUGCCCGAUCGUGGGGGAUAACGGAGCGAAAGCUUUGCUAAUACCGCAUACGAUYUACGGAUGAAAGCGGGGGAUCUUCGGACCUCGCGCGGACGGAGCGGCCGAUGACAGAUUAGGUAGUUGGUGGGAUAAAAGCUUACCAAGCCGACGAUCUGUAGCUGGUCUGAGAGGAUGAUCAGCCACACUGGGACUGAGACACGGCCCAG